UACGUAGGGUGCGAGCGUUAAUCGGAAUUACUGGGCGUAAAGCGUGCGCAGGCGGCUUUGCAAGACAGGUGUGAAAUCCCCGGGCUUAACCUGGGAACUGCAUUUGUGACUGCAAGGCUAGAGUAUAGCAGAGGGGGGUAGAAUUCCACGUGUAGCAGUGAAAUGCGUAGAUAUGUGGAGGAAUACUGAUGGCGAAGGCAGCCCCCUGGGCUAACACUGACGCUCAUGCACGAAAGCGUGGGGAGCAAACAGG
rnacentral:rRNA from 1 species